GAAAACAGCUCUAAUGGUCAUCCACGUUCCCUUGAUGGACAUGUGCGAAAGUAGCUGUGAUUAUCGUGUUAACUGCGCACAGAGCCGCGGGGCAAACGCCAGACACAGCGUUAUUUCUAUUCCCUCUUAUGCCGUCGCCAUUUCGUUCCCCAUCAGUAGCCGGUCAUGGCAACCGGUCUGGUCCAACCCACGACCGUUCACACAUUUCCUAACGUCCUUUCGACUUCUUCGCCCAACGACCGUGGCAAGUCCGAAAGUAGGGACGGCGGAUGCACCGGGACUAAUUGGCUCGCCGAGACAACACCCGAUAUAUCUUCUCCCCUUACACGCAACGUUCUCGCAGGCGAUAGUCGUCCGCAGUGUGAACGACCACGCGGACGCUACCGCUACGCCAUUCGCGGCAGCUUCGCGGAGAAGGCACGCCAAUUCGCUGCGCCCUCUUUUACCAGCCGUGCCAAGCCCGGUCGGCCUGGGUCGGCCAUCACCAUCCGGUGCAGGGUGCCAGCCAGCGCGCGCGCACUGGGGGUGAAGUCCGUCGACGCCGCCGAUGCAGCGGCGGAGCAGGCCAGCAGCAAACAGCGCGCCGAGUGCAGUAGCCGCAGCGACCGACCUUCAACCCGGGUUGGAGCUCCGCUGCGCAGGGCCAUCGAUCGGAGCUCCGCGAGCAAAACGAUGGUGUGAAGUACAAAGGUGGAACAAGAACUUAUCAAAGAAGUACAAGAACUUUAUCAGCAAGAAACAGGCAAGCAAUGAAGACGACCGUUUAGUUGGAUAAUGAGGGCCCCAAAUGAAUACAACGAAAGCAAUAUUGUGAAGUCUGAGCACGAACAGAUAUGCCACAAAUGCAUUAAAAAGACAGUUAAGCACAACGCUCAGAUGCACUGCCACACGUCAUCCUCACGGCACAUGUCCAGUGUGUUGUAUGUGUUGUAUACCUGGUUCUAGUUUCUAUUUAAACUCUAUCACGCCUUCGUAAUCAUGUGUAGAUACGUCAUAUGUUGAAAUAAUAAAAAGAAUGAAUGCUGCCAAGUUUGGUAGGCAAAAUUGAAGAAGGUGUUGCGGUUGCCAACUGAUGCACACACAAGUGUGCUGUUCACCUCAGACGUGGCCAGCUCUCUAGGUGGCCGAUACCCAACACUGGCUGUGCACUAGAGAACUGUGCCUGCAUACAGUAGCUAGAUAGCUGUCAUUACAAUGUGCAAUCACUCAGUGAGCAUCAGAGCUGCUAUUGAUUUGUUUUAAUCAAUGAGCCAUCAGAAAUUGUCCUCACCGAGGCUGAGCUGGUCAGACCAAGACGAACGACAAAUCAAGUUGUCAAUCAUCUUCCAUAAGUUACAAAGUAUUCGAUACUGCGAAGAACUGCCUCUGUAAAGCUGCAUAGUAUACAGUUAGAGUUACUAGCACCCAAAUAUGUCUGUUGGUUCAAGACCACACAGGAAAACAAGUGAAAUGCACAAAACAAAUAAACAGUGAAAGCCUUUGCUUUUUGAUGCAGCACGCCAUCACAACAGCGUGUUUUAGAAGUAGAUGAGAGUACUCUAAAGAAAAGAGAACCCAAGAAACAGCAUCUAUGUGGCACUGCGCAUGCUCGGAACAUAAACUACGGUGAUAAUCAGCACAGAGUGAAUUUGGGUUCACCAUGUCUGAAGGAGCACAUGUAAUACUUCUGGUGAAAAAAAAACUUGUGGGUGCACCAGUGCAACACAUCUCAGUAAUGAGCACAAUAGGGUUCUACUAAUUUAACCUAGCUUGCUUUUGUCCAGUAUUAUAAGUGGCUCUCUUCAUUUGAAAAUAAUUACUGAGCCUUUUGCUUUUGCAAGAGAGACUACAGAUGCAACUUUCCAAGAGCACUACACUCCAAAAAAUUGAGAAAAUAUGGCAUAAUGAUGUCAGACUGAUAAAACUGUUUUUUGAAAACUUUUAAUAGAGGUCUAAAAAUCCAGCAAUACAAAUUCAAGACAACGAAAAGAGCUAGGUUUCUUGUGUUGAGUGUGGAGUACCUUUAAUGCCCAUACUGAUUUUGCUGUGUACCAAGCGUAUAUAUUAAAUUUAGGAAUCUGUAAAUUUUUUAGCCUCCCUAAAAAAGUAUAUUGAAUAAACACACAUACAAUUGUAUAGCAGGUUCACACUCAAUGACAGCAAUACUGCAAAUAUGACUCCUAGACAACAGUGCCGCAAAUUUACGUUGACUUAUAAGUGCUCUGCGCAAGCAGAACUAAGUUCAGUUUGAGCAAUACCAUGGAAGUAAUACGCACAAUAAUUUUCACAAUGCAAGACCAUGGUGCCAGCAUUGAAAAUGGAAAAGAUAUAGAGCUGCACGUCAAACCGUGUACACCCAAUAACAUUUCACUAAUGAUCACAUGCCAGACAUUCAAAUAACAGAGCAAGUGCAAGCAAGGAUUGCUAACAUCAUCAACUAGCACAGUAUUCAAGUGCUGCAACCAUGCAAGAACAUCCACAGCUGAGGGAGAAUACUGAAUGUUCAGAUACUAUGUAUCUAAUAUAGUCCAUAGUCCAUGACUUCAUUUCUAAAUUUCAUUCAGUAAAAUAUAACAAUCCUGUAGUUAAAUGCUGGCCAAAACUCUCAAUGCCCCUUUAAGGAAUGUCUUAUGGCAGCCCACAUAGUUAUUUUUCAACAAAAUUAUCAAAAGUGCCCAUAUUAUUGGUCCAGGGCUGAUACAAUUAGACAUGAAGGAGAACUGUGUUGAUUAGAUUAAAGUGUCACAUCAGAAAGUAUGCAAAAUAUGUGCAGAACCCAGCUUCUUUUAAGGACAGUUAAGCAAGAGGUUUUCCUCUGUUCAGAUACCUUGUUUGCACAUCCUUGUGGUAAAGCUGGUAAAUAGUUUCCAGCCUCUAUGGCACAGUAACCUUUACGUAAACAUUCAAUACUCGAUAUCAACUUAAACCUGCCUCCAGGCUCCCAGGGGUGCCACUACUAUGAAAUGCAUUCAAUUAUGGGGGAGUGGUGGGAAAACCUGCCACAGAUUUAGCAUAUUGAUGGGCUUGCACUCUUUGCUUGCAUCUGCCCACCUUUUCAGUGCAUUCGCCUAGUGGACGUUGGCAGAGUGGCUCCCAAAUAUGCUAAAUGUCCAUCCUGCAAGUGGUCGUGGCAAGACGCACCAAGUUUCCAUGCAACUGAUUAUCUUCCUCUGUGCAAUAUCUGCUCAGUUGGUCGUCGUAAACUCAGUGGGAAGUGGCGAGUAAGCAACCACAUUCUUUGGUGUCUUGCGCCUCCGCAAAAGACAGUAGGCAG